AACCCCCACCCGCACGACCCCUCCCACGCCUCCAGUGCGCCGCCACCCGUCACCACGUUGCUGCGCCGCCACCCCCCACCUCCAGUGCGCCGCCUCCAGUGCCCAGCCACCCACCGCCACGCUGUUGCGCGCCGCCGGGCGCGGCGACGGCGAUCUCCGGCCAGAUCCGGCUGAAGAGGCGAGUAGGAGUUGGAUCCUGUUCAGGGGACGGUGUGGAGAUGAUCUAGGAGGCGCGGGAGGAGGUCCAGCGGCGGGGUUAGCGUCGCCAGCCGCCACGCCGACGCCCACCCUCGCACCGGCAUCACCUGAGGCAAAAAACCGCAUAGACGCUCCUCCUCUCCCGGACAAGGUCUCAAAAGAGACGCCGCCGCCGAUCUGGGGAUACGCCGUCGCAGAUCACCAAGACGCGGCUGUCGCGGACCACCAGGACGUCAGCAGCGGCGGCGCCUCAGAUACGUCAUGGACCAGGACGCGGCCGUCGCCGAUCAGGAACAGGACACUGCUGUCGCGGAUCCCAGGACUGCCGGCGACGCCGCCUCAGAUACCCACACCAACCGCCAGCCGCUGCCCACCACAUCGACCAGCUCCAAGAUGGUGGUAUGCGGUUUUCUUGGCAGCGGCGUCGGGAUCAGGCUCCAGUUCCCCCUACCCCACAUUGUUGUUGUUGUUGCUGCUGCUCCAGUUCCAAUUCCAGCGAGUGCCAGCGAUGGGGAUGCUCGGAUCGCAGUCCCUGCUCUCAUUUUCCUCCAGCCUCUGGUAACCCUCCUCCUCACCCGCUUCGCCUAAGCGGGAUUCAUAGGGAGCAUCAGCUACGUCUUAUGUGGGGAUGAACCGAGUGAUAGGAAAAUAUUUUUUUGAAUGCAAUGGGAAGGCGAAAAACGACACGCCUUGGUGAAGCAACUCUGAGAUUCGGAAACAAGGACUCCUAUUUGUCUGUAGAGCAUGUGGAGCUGUUGGGCAAGCAGAGUUCUAUCUGGGUAUUCAGGUAGCUGAGGAUAACAGGGAAAAGGAAAAUCUCCAGGCUAUCAUGCAUACCAUGCACCUCUAAGGCUCGUGCUGUGAGGUCAGUUCAAUUUUAAUCUCUGGUAAUUUAGUGUAUUCUCAGACCAGUCAACCAUUUAUAGUUUUUCUAACUCACCUUUGUAAAUAUUUGGCACCACAACACUACGUAGUUUCUAUGUUUUAGCUUUGAGUUGUCAAUUUUGUAACUUUGCAGUAUUUCCUUUGAUUUUGGCGUGUAUAAACUCAUUUUUAAUUUUGCGGUGUUCCUCCGAUUUUGGUCAUGAGUCGAACAACUGAGAAUUCGAGAACCAAGUAGCCGCUUAUCACUUCAGGAGAAAUAGGUUGACUAAACCUAUUGACUGUUGUUGUCUUAGUCGCUUGGAUCUUGGGUUCAUUAUAUCUUAUAUUGUUGUGAGCUAUUUCUGAUGCAUUUUGUGAUAUUUAUAUCAUAGUCUGUUCCGAGCUUCAUAGAAAUUUCUAAGGAAUGAAUAGAUAAUGGCAUGCAAAGUUUAACUGUAAUUAUAAGUUCAUAAGGUUUAAUAGGUUCAAAUAUUGGUAGCACAAUAUCCGAUGUUGUCAUGAUGGCGCUUCUGAUUAUAUGCAAGUGCCUGGUUUUCAUAUACUCUUCCUUGUGCUGAAGCUUUAAAUACCUAGACCCUCAGUUGCCAGGGAAAUAGUUUGCCAGGCUGAAACAAUCCAAACUUGCAUAGAAUCUAUCGAGAGUAAUCUGGUGAUGUCCUUCAGAGAGCUUGCCUAUCUAUUAUCCCAUGACGAGUUAAGUAUCUUUGGAUCCGAGCUUCGCCGCCCAGACCGUGUGAUACCCGGAGAUUUCAUUAGCCAGUGGUUCAUGGUCCAUAAACUUAUCACUUGCCGCUCGCCUUCAGUAAGAUCCUCCUCGCCGACGCGUUCAUUGCCGAGGUGUCCAUUCGUAGUUUUUUGCCCACUUUGUUUGUUCCUGGCCCUCAUUGUCGCGCCGCCAGCACGAUGUCGUGUCUGGCCGCUUGAUUCAUUCGAUGGUGGAGGCGGGUUCAAUUCUUUUUCGUCUUUCAUUUUCUCCCCUUCCCAUGUUCCUCUGCGUUUCUUUUCUUUUUCGGAAAGAAGUGAACGUGUUAGGUAUGGGAUGCCGAACCACGGAUGGACGGGGUUAGCGCCUCGAGGAAGCGACGGUUCUGGUUCUAGGGAGGAAGAGACAUGCCAAAUCUUUCCAAUCCCCACGCAUGUGGCUUUGCUGAUUUCGAUUAGCCUCCAUCUCGCUGUUGGGAUGGGGAUGUUUAAUGGAUCCUUGCUUCUCUCGCUUCAUGUGCAUCCAUCCCGUCCUCCUGUAUGUACGUCGUUGACUCGUUUUCCGAGUCUAACAGAGAAUUGUCUCUGUGUAUGUGCAAUCUGCAGCGUACUUUGGGGGAGGAGUACCACCCAUGGAUUGAUCCUUCGCUGGCAGGGCCGGGGCCAGGCCGGCGGUCAUGUCUUUCGGGUUGGCGGCGAGGGAGGAGCAGCAAGGCAAGCUCACGUUACCCAAGUAGCAGGCCUCUUGUGUCCUGAGUCCUGAUGCCACGGGUAGCUGGAGCUGAUGUUGCCCUUGGUUUAUGCACGAUGUAUGUUUUGCCUGCCAGCUUUUUUGAUUGGUCCAUCUAUGUUGUGUGAGAUCGUUUGGUGCUGAGAGCCAUGGUAGCGCUAAACAUGUUCUUGUUGCAUAUUGUUUUGAUUUCUUUAAAUGAAUAUUAGGCAUAGCAGUGGCCGAAGGCGGCCGGGUUCUUGCACCUAUCGGAGCUAGAGGAUUCCGUCGCUUAAGCCAAUGGGUGGAAGUCCUUCUUUACAAGCAGCAGCUCCACAAUCGCCUUUGCCAUUGAUGCAAGGUUUUGGUUACCGAAUGAGGUAAUUUUACCGAGGGGGACUGAUAAAUGUGGUUAUCACGGUUACCGAGAAAUACCGACAAAUACCGAGAAUAUUUCGAGCGAAUUUUAUAGUUGAAUUUUGAAUUCAAAUAAGAAAAUGAACGAAUAUUCAAACCAGAGACCUCUCAAAACAGGAACUAGGUUGCUACCAACAUGCCAUAACCAACUUUCAUUGCAUUAAUUAGACCCUACAUACCUUACUGUAAAUCGAGUGUUUAAAUUCAAAAAUUUCAAAAAAAUGGUAUUUUUUGCUCGGUAUGACGAUUUACCGAGGGGCACGGAAAUACGUGGUAACCAUGGGAAAUCUUGAAAUUUCGACUGGUAACCAAAACCUUGCAUUGAUGUCAGUGAGUCAGCUAGAUCAAGUUGCCUUCUUGCAAUUACCGCGCUUGUUGUUUCUUGUGUUGCUUUUCAAUGGGAUUGCUUGCCUGGUGUAUUGCACUUUAGGUAUGUAGCCCAGGUUUCCCAUAUGUAAUGUAGAUGCUAGAAGCUCAACCUCGUGUACAUGGUUUUGGGGAGGAGAUCAAGUCAGCAGCUGAUUGAAAAGUUCAGAGAUGAGAAUGACAACUACAUGAAGAAUGUUAUAAGUGGAAUAGACAAAAGAAAUUAUGUUUUCCUUACUGAUGCCUGCAUGCAAGUAUCCUAACCUUGGCACCUGCAUUACUUUAUGUAGAUGCAAAUAUCACGAAGCCACCAGCAUAAGGGUAUAUUUUGUUUAAUUCGGAUUAAUUUCUUAUGAUGUGCCUUUGAGGUCAUUUAUAUUGGCUACGAUUGGUGUCAUUUAUCUGUUCUUAUGUGAUAGUUAAUAUUUUAUUAAGAUUAGGUUAAAAAAUUAGUCCAGAUUAUAUUUCUUUGAAAGAGAAAAAUGCCAAGGUUGAUAAAUGCCCAAGAUAGGUGCUUGCGUGCUUCAUCCUUCAUGCUUCAAGUAUGCCCUUCGGUAGGAGACUUGCCUCCAUUUGUUUCUCCAGAAGAUGAGGCUGGAUGAGAAAAAUGUGCAUUUUCGGUACCUUUUGCUUCAGAUUCAGAAGAAACAUAUGGUGCUUUUUGUUCUAUACUCGGUUCAUGUCUUAUCAUUUCACGUAUCUUUUCUCUGAACUAUACAUGAUUGUUUGGUCGUUAGAAAUUUCACAACAUUAAAUUCUAGGAAAAUUCCACUACAAUCUUUACUACUACUGAAAAGUGUGUAAUAGUGAGAGAAUAAUAAGCAGCACGUCCAGCUGCUAUAAAACAGAAGUGUUAGGCGACGUAACAGAAGUGCUCCUAAGCGGCGUGUCCGACUGCUAUUCUACGGGUCAGACGAAGAUCUUGGCGCUAUGGCGUGGCAGGAUGGUGAUCAGCGGCAUGGAGGGAGAGCACCGCAGUCGGCAGCAGCACGGCUGGUUGAUCUGUGGCGGCGCAAACAGAGAGAUUUGCGACGCGGCAUGGCAUGCUGGUGUGUAGCAGCAUGGAGGGAGAGCUUGGCUGUCGGCAGCAGCUCCGUCGACUGAUAUGCAGCUACAAAGAAGUUGGACUGGAAAGCAUAGCCCGUGUGCAUGACAUCCAACCCAGUGGCAUCAUGCCUAGCUAGUACGAGGUCAAGCAUGAAAGUGCAACGAGAAGAGGGGUGGAGAUAAGAUUUGAUAUCGUUUGGUCUUCUUGCAAGGAGUGCAUGGUUAUGAAGAAAUAAUAACUGUCAAGGCUGAAAGAACAAGAGAGAAUAAGUUCUAUUAAUGUAAGGAUGAAAACCACAUGCCACCUUUUCGAACACAUUUCUGAAUUGGGAUAAUUAUUCGAUUGCUGUCUUUUUUUAAUUCCGUGGCAAUGCACAGACAUUCAACUAGAAAAUUCAUAUUUAUAGGUUAGUCACCCACCUUUUUCAUGCUAUUUACAUAUUUGCCACUUGUUAGCAAGUUUGCAUAUGAUGCUGGGAAAUUCAACAUAGGGAAGUGAACAUAAGGACAUGGAAAUGUUACACUUCGAAUAUGAUAGAAACUCAAAAUCCAAAUAACAAAUUAGUUGCUCUGUCAGUCGGUAAGCAUGAAAUGUAAGCCUCCUAGAUAAGAUAUUAGCUCUCCCAAUUCUUGAGGCUGGAAAUACAAGCAUCCUUGUAAAUAAGAUAUUACCUAUUUUCAUGAUGGAAAUGCAA